rnacentral:rRNA from 1 species
ACGGGGUGCAGCAGGCGCGAAAACUUUGCAAUACACGAAAGUGUGACAAGGCUAUCCCGAGUGCCAUCCGCUGAGGAAGGCUUUUACCCAGUAUAAAUAGCUGGGAGAAUAAGGAGAGGGCAAGUCUGGUGUCAGCCGCCGCGGUAAUACCAGCUCUCCGAGUAGUGUGGAUGUUUAUUGGGCCUAAAGCAUCCGUAGCUUGCUAGGCAAGUCCCCUGUUAAAUCCACCGAUUCAAUCGAUGGUUUGCGGGGGAUACUGUUUGGCUAGGGGACGGGAGAGGUCGACGGUAUUUCCGGGGUAGGGGUGAAAUCCUAUAAUCCCGGGAGGACCACCAGUGGCGAAGGCUGUCGACUAGAACGCGCCCGACGGUGAGGGAUGAAAGCUGGGGGAGCGAACCGGAUUAGAUACCCGGGUAGUCCCAGCUGUAAACGAUGCAGGCUAGGUGUUUGGGCGGCCACGAGCCGCCCUAGUGCCGCAGGGAAGCUGUUAAGCCUGCCGCCUGGGAGUACGCCGCAAGGC